CAAAAUGUUUCUCUUUCUUCUCCCUCGCUCUCCAUCUCUCUUUCUGCACACAUUCACAUGGAAGGAAUUGGGAUCCGAUGUCCACAAGCAGUGGACACCUUUUCAGUGGGGUGUUAUUUGGCCCGCAAGAACACUGGAUGUCAAGAGACAGAAUAUAGAAAGCCCAGAAAGACCAGGCCAUGGUUAGAAGCAUAGAAUUGUCAGCACCAACCACCAUCCUCCAGGAAGGGUACAGGGGCUGGAGACUGAGUUAAUACCAAUCAUGCCUAAGUAAUGAAGCCUCCAUAAAAGUUCCUGAGAGCUUCCACAUGCUGAACACGUGCGGUGGGCCUGGAGGGCGGCACACCCAGUGAAUCUUCCCACGUGCCUCGCCUUGUGAAUCUCCUCAUCUGGCUGUCCAUCUGUAUCCUUGGAAACAUCCUUCCUCAUGAACCAAUGAACAUAACGAA
rnacentral:antisense_RNA from 1 species